rnacentral:rRNA from 1 species
CAGUAGCCACGGUAAUGCGUAGGUGGCAAGCGUUGUCCGGAAUUAUUGGGCGUAAAGGGCUCGCAGGCGGUUUCUUAAGUCUGAUGUGAAAGCCCCCGGCUCAACCGGGGAGGGUCAUUGGAAACUGGGAAACUUGAGUGCAGAAGAGGAGAGUGGAAUUCCACGUGUAGCGGUGAAAUGCGUAGAGAUGUGGAGGAACACCAGUGGCGAAGGCGACUCUCUGGUCUGUAACUGACGCUGAGGAGCGAAAGCGUGGGGAGCGAACAGGAUUAGAUACCCCAGUAGUCCCUGUCUCUUAUAC